rnacentral:rRNA from 1 species
GAGUUUGAUCCUGGCUCAGAUUGAACGCUGGCGGCAGGCUUAACACAUGCAAGUCGAGCGGAGAGAGGUAGCUUGCUACCGAUCUUAGCGGCGGACGGGUGAGUAAUGCUUAGGAAUCUGCCUAUUAGUGGGGGACAACAUUUCGAAAGGAAUGCUAAUACCGCAUACGUCCUACGGGAGAAAGCAGGGGAUCUUCGGACCUUGCGCUAAUAGAUGAGCCUAAGUCGGAUUAGCUAGUUGGUGGGGUAAAGGCCUACCAAGGCGACGAUCUGUAGCGGGUCUGAGAGGAUGAUCCGCCACACUGGGACUGAGACACGGCCCAGACUCCUACGGGAGGCAGCAGUGGGGAAUAUUGGACAAUGGGCGCAAGCCUGAUCCAGCCAUGCCGCGUGUGUGAAGAAGGCCUUAUGGUUGUAAAGCACUUUAAGCGAGGAGGAGGCUACUUUAGUUAAUACCUAGAGAU